GUGCUCACUUCAGCAGCAUAUAUACUAAAAUUGAAACAAUACAGAAAAGAUUAGCAUGGCCCCUGCACAAAGAUGAUAUGCAAAUUCAUAAAUCGUUCCAUAGUUUU
rnacentral:snRNA from 1 species